rnacentral:rRNA from 1 species
UUCUACGGAGAGUUUGAUCCUGGCUCAGGAUGAACGCUGGCGGCGUGCUUUAUACAUGCAAGUCGAACGAGAAGGGAAGGACUUCGGUCCGACCUGGAGAGUGGCGAACGGGUGAGUAACACGUGAGUGACCUGCCCCGAGGUGGGGGACAACCGUGGGAAACCACGGCUAAUACCCCGUAGUCCUGUGCGCACUGGUCGCGUACAGGUAUAGCUCCGGCGCCUUGGGAGGGGCUCGCGGUCGAUUAGCUAGUUGGUGGGGUAACGGCCUACCAAGGCGACGAUCGAUAGCUGGUCUGAGAGGACGAUCAGCCACACUGGGACUGAGACACGGCCCAGACU